rnacentral:tRNA from 1 species
UCCCUGGUGGCUCGGAAGGUAAAGCGGCUGCCUGUGAUGCAGGAGACCCAGGUUCAAUCCCUGGGUUGGGAA